GACGGAGGGUGCAAGCGUUGUUCGGAAUUACUGGGCGUAAAGCGCGUGUAGGCGGCUGGGUAAGUUGGAUGUGAAAGCCCCGAGCUCAACUCGGGAACUGCGUCCAAAACUGCCUAGCUAGAGUCCUGGAGAGGAAGGCAGAACUCCCAGUGUAGGGGUGAAAUCCGUAGAUACUGGGAAGAAUACCGGUAGCGAAGGCGGCCUUCUGGACAGUGACUGACGCUGAGACGCGAAAGCGUGGGGAGCAAACAGG
rnacentral:rRNA from 1 species